UGGGGAAUUUUGCACAAUGGGGGAAACCCUGAUGCAGCGACGCCGCGUGAUUUAGAAGGCCUUCGGGUUGUAAAAAUCUUUUUUAUGGGAUGAAAAUGACAGUACCAUAAGAAUAAGGUCCGGCUAAAAACGUGCCAGCAGCCGCGGUAAUACGUAUGGACCGAGCGUUGUCCGGAAUCAUUGGGCGUAAAGGGUACGUAGGCGGCCCAGUAAGUUAGAAGUGAAAUAAUAUAGCUCAACUAUAUAAAGCUUUUAAAACUGCUAGGCUUGAGAGAUGGAAGGGAAAGUGGAAUUCCUAGUGUAGCGGUGAAAUGCGCAGAUAUUAGGAAGAAUACCGGUGGCGAAGGCGACUUUCUGGUCAUCAUCUGACGCUGAGGUACGAAAGCGUGGGUAGCAAACAGG
rnacentral:rRNA from 1 species